UUUAAAAACAUAAAUCUGCUAUGGGAGAAGCAUAUUGUUCCUUUAGAUCUCUCUGUACUAUGUGCAUUUUUUGUCAUAUAUAUAUUUCUACUUUUAUUUAAAAUAUAAGGGGAAAAAUAAGGGAAAAAUACUUCAAUCAGUUACA